AGACGUAGGGCGCAAGCGUUGUCCGGAUUUAUUGGGCGUAAAGAGCUCGUAGGCGGCUUGUCACGUCGACUGUGAAAACCCACGGCUCAACUGUGGGCUUGCAGUCGAUACGGGCUGGCUUGAGUGCGGUAGGGGAGACUGGAAUUCCUGGUGUAGCGGUGAAAUGCGCAGAUAUCAGGAGGAACACCGGUGGCGAAGGCGGGUCUCUGGGCCGUUACUGACGCUGAGGAGCGAAAGCGUGGGGAGCGAACAGGAUUAGAUACCCUGGUAGUCCACGCUGUAAACGUUGGGCGCUAGGUGUGGGGGGCCUCUCCGGUCUUCUGUGCCGUAGCUAACGCAUUAAGCGCCCCGCCUGGGGAGUACGGCCGCAAGGCUAAA
rnacentral:rRNA from 1 species